rnacentral:rRNA from 1 species
GGUUAAGCGACUAAGCGUACACGGUGGAUGCCCUGGCAGUCAGAGGCGAUGAAGGACGUGCUAAUCUGCGAAAAGCGCCGGCGAGGUGAUAUGAACCUUUGACCCGGCGAUGUCCGAAUGGGGAAACCCAGUGUGAUUCGUCACACUAUCGUUAACUGAAUACAUAGGUUAACGAGGCGAACCGGGGGAACUGAAACAUCUAAGUACCCCGAGGAAAAGAAAUCAACCGAGAUUCCCCCAGUAGCGGCGAGCGAACGGGGAGCAGCCCGGAGUCUGAAUCAGCUUGUGUGUUAGUGGAACGGUCUGGAAAGUCCGACGGUACAGGGUGAUAGUCCCGUACACGAAAAUGCACAGGCUGUGAACUCGAAGAGUAGGGCGGGACACGUGGUAUCCUGUCUGAAUAUGGGGGGACCAUCCUCCAAGGCUAAAUACUCCUGACUGACCGAUAGUGAACCAGUACCGUGAGGGAAAGGCGAAAAGAACCCCGGCGAGGGGAGUGAAAAAGAACCUGAAACCGUGUACGUACAAGCAGUGGGAGCACCUUCGGGUGUGACUGCGUACCUUUUGUAUAAUGGGUCAGCGACUUAUAUUCUGUAGCAAGGUUAACCGUAUAGGGGAGCCGAAGGGAAACCGAGUCUUAACUGGGCGUUAAGUUGCAGGGUAUAGACCCGAAACCCGGUGAUCUAGCCAUGGGCAGGUUGAAGGUUGGGUAACACUAACUGGAGGACCGAACCGACUAAUGUUGAAAAAUUAGCGGAUGACCUGUGGCUGGGGGUGAAAGGCCAAUCAAACCGGGAGAUAGCUGGUUCUCCCCGAAAGCUAUUUAGGUAGCGCCUCGUGAACUCAUCUUCGGGGGUAGAGCACUGUUUCGGCUAGGGGGCCAUCCCGGCUUACCAACCCGAUGCAAACUACGAAUACCGAAGAAUGUUAUCACGGGAGACACACGGCGGGUGCUAACGUCCGUCGUGAAGAGGGAAACAACCCAGACCGCCAGCUAAGGUCCCAAAGUCAUGGUUAAGUGGGAAACGAUGUGGGAAGGCACAGACAGCCAGGAUGUUGGCUUAGAAGCAGCCAUCAUUUAAAGAAAGCGUAAUAGCUCACUGGUCGAGUCGGCCUGCGCGGAAGAUGUAACGGGGCUAAACCAUGCACCGAAGCUGCGGCAGCGACACUAUGUGUUGUUGGGUAGGGGAGCGUUCUGUAAGCCGUCGAAGGUGGCCUGUGAGGGCUGCUGGAGGUAUCAGAAGUGCGAAUGCUGACAUAAGUAACGAUAAAGCGGGUGAAAAGCCCGCUCGCCGGAAGACCAAGGGUUCCUGUCCAACGUUAAUCGGGGCAGGGUGAGUCGACCCCUAAGGCGAGGCCGAAAGGCGUAGUCGAUGGGAAACAGGUUAAUAUUCCUGUACUUGGUGUUACUGCGAAGGGGGGACGGAGAAGGCUAUGUCAGCCGGGCGACGGUUGUCCCGGUUUAAGCGUGUAGGUGUGUGUUCCAGGCAAAUCCGGUUCACUUUAACACUGAGGCGUGAUGACGAGGCACUACGGUGCUGAAGUGAUAAAUGCCCUGCUUCCAGGAAAAGCCUCUAAGCAUCAGGUAACACGAAAUCGUACCCCAAACCGACACAGGUGGUCAGGUAGAGAAUACCAAGGCGCUUGAGAGAACUCGGGUGAAGGAACUAGGCAAAAUGGUGCCGUAACUUCGGGAGAAGGCACGCUGAUAUGUAGGUGAAGCCCCUGCGGGUGGAGCUGAAAUCAGUCGAAGAUACCAGCUGGCUGCAACUGUUUAUUAAAAACACAGCACUGUGCAAACACGAAAGUGGACGUAUACGGUGUGACGCCUGCCCGGUGCCGGAAGGUUAAUUGAUGGGGUUAGCGGCAACGCGAAGCUCUUGAUCGAAGCCCCGGUAAACGGCGGCCGUAACUAUAACGGUCCUAAGGUAGCGAAAUUCCUUGUCGGGUAAGUUCCGACCUGCACGAAUGGCGUAAUGAUGGCCAGGCUGUCUCCACCCGAGACUCAGUGAAAUUGAACUCGCUGUGAAGAUGCAGUGUACCCGCGGCAAGACGGAAAGACCCCGUGAACCUUUACUAUAGCUUGACACUGAACACUGGUCCUUGAUGUGUAGGAUAGGUGGGAGGCUUUGAAGCGUGGACGCCAGUCUGCGUGGAGCCGUCCUUGAAAUACCACCCUUUAAUGGCUGGUGUUCUAACGUGGACCCGUAAUCCGGGUUGCGGACAGUGUCUGGUGGGUAGUUUGACUGGGGCGGUCUCCUCCCAAAGAGUAACGGAGGAGCACGAAGGUUAGCUAAUCCUGGUCGGACAUCAGGAGGUUAGUGCAAUGGCAUAAGCUAGCUUGACUGCGAGAGUGACGGCUCGAGCAGGUGCGAAAGCAGGUCAUAGUGAUCCGGUGGUUCUGAAUGGAAGGGCCAUCGCUCAACGGAUAAAAGGUACUCCGGGGAUAACAGGCUGAUACCGCCCAAGAGUUCAUAUCGACGGCGGUGUUUGGCACCUCGAUGUCGGCUCAUCACAUCCUGGGGCUGAAGUAGGUCCCAAGGGUAUGGCUGUUCGCCAUUUAAAGUGGUACGCGAGCUGGGUUUAGAACGUCGUGAGACAGUUCGGUCCCUAUCUGCCGUGGGCGCUGGAGAAUUGAGGGGGGCUGCUCCUAGUACGAGAGGACCGGAGUGGACGCAUCACUGGUGUUCGGGUUGUCAUGCCAAUGGCACUGCCCGGUAGCUAAAUGCGGAAGAGAUAAGUGCUGAAAGCAUCUAAGCACGAAACUUGCCCCGAGAUGAGUUCUCCCUGACUCCUUGAGAGUCCUGAAGGAACGUUGAAGACGACGACGUUGAUAGGUCGGGUGUGUAAGCGCAGCGAUGCGUUGAGCUAACCGAUACUAAUGAACCGUGAGGCUUAACCUU